rnacentral:lncRNA from 1 species
GUGCUUAGAUUUUUAGUGAAACUUGGAUCCUUAGCGAGGGCUAUGGUGCCGUUGUUGUCGCAGUGUAGUGCAAUGGCAUCUAGUAGAAUCACACCCAGCUUCGCAAUGAACUUCUUGAACUAAAGGCUUCCUUAGCAGCUUCAGAGGUGGUGAUGUACUCGACUUCCAUGAUCAAAUCUGCAAUGAUCGGCUGCUUGAAACUCUUCCAACUAACCGCACCACUAUUACACAAGAAGAUACAUCUCGAUGUAGACUUUCUAUCAUGGACAUCAGCCAU